rnacentral:lncRNA from 10 species
UGCCUCGUGACCUCUGGUUUGUAUUUUAGGGGCAGCCUUGGUUCCUUUCUUUUUUGCUUAAAUAAACUUUUUUUUUUUUUUUGAGACAGGCUGAAAAGCAGUGGCUCAAUCUUGACCCACUGCAACCUCCGCCCCUUGGGCUCAAACAAUACUCCCACCUCAGCCUUCUGAGUGGCUGGGACCACAGGCUGUGCCACCAUAUCUGGCUAAUUUUUGUAAUUUUUUUUCUGUAGAGACACGGUUUUGCCAUGUUGCCCAGACUGGUCUCCAACUCCUGGGCUCAGGUGAUCCACUUGCCUUGGCCUCCCUAAGUGCUGGAAUUAUAGGCGUGAGCCACCACUCCCGGCCCAGACUUUAUUUUUUUAGAGCAGUUUUAGGCUCAUGGCAAAAUUGAGCAUAACGUUCAGAGAGCUCCCAUAUACCCCCACACACAGCCUCCCCGACUACUGGCAGCAUCCACAUGGUGCAUUUGUUACAACUGAUGCCCCUCCAUGGAUCCAUCAUCACCCCAAGUGAGUAGCUCACGUUAGGGUUCACGCUAGGUUUUGGGCAUCCUAUGGGUUUGGACACUGACACGUGUCCCCCCUUGCAGAAUCAAAUGGAAUUGUUUCACGGCCAUCGAAGUCCUGUGUGCCCCGCCUGCUGCGGCAUUCUUGUUUCGGGCAUGUGGUUUUUCAUCAUUUCUCUGGAUUUGCAGUGAGCAGGGGGAGUGGGUGGAGAGCAUUCCAUGUGUGCUCAUCAUGACCAGACAUCUGCCCUAAGGCCCAGGGCUGCCGGAGCAUCAGCCAGGAGGUUGCUAAAUGGAGAUGCCUGGGUCCGGCGCCCAGGGCUUCUGAUUCUUUUCUUGAGACACAGUCUUCCUCUGUCGCCCAGGCUGGAGUGCAGUGGUGCGAUCUUGGCUUACUGCAACCUCCACCUCCCGGGGUCAAGUGAUUCUCCUGCCUCAGCCUCCCGAGUACCUGGGAUUACAGGCGCCCACCACCACCCCCAGCUAAUUUUUGUAUUUUUAGUAGAGACAGGGGUUCACCAUGUUGGCCAGGCUAGUCUUGAACUCCUGACCUCAGGUGAUCCACCGGCCUUGGCCUCCCAAAGUCCCGGGAUUACAGGUGUGAGCCAUCGCGCUUGGCCCAGAGCUUCUGAUUCUGUGGGUCUGGGGAGCCCAGGAAUCAGUGUUUUUCCCUAGCCCCCCAGGAGGCUCCCACCUGCUGUGCCACUGGCGCUAUCCUGCAUCCUGCACCCUGGGUACCCAGUGGCCAGAGGAGUUGUGACCAGGCCCUGCCCAUUCUGUCACAGUCACAACCCGGCACACCCCACGGCCGAGGCUGGAGAGUGCAGGUGCCUGGUGGACUGGCCCGGGUGGGUGCCAUGCACGGCUGCAGAGCCUGCUGGGAGCACAGAGGCUGCCCACUGGGUAGCCCCUUCCUCAGCCUGCAGAUGCCAGCCCUGGGGGCCCAGGGGAUCAUCCAGACAGGUCCAGCCAAUGUCCGGGGUGUGUGUGCAGGGGGUGCUGGCAUGGCACUGAUUUGGACCUUUCCACACAGAGCAGACAAGGCAGCUGAGGCCCGGAGGGGAAACGGCGUCCCCACGCCUGUCCAACUGCGGGCCUCUUGGCAUCCUUUUCUGUGUAGGACUCCCUGCCAGGCUGUGAACACCUCACGGGGCUUGAUGUUCCUUUGAGCACUUGCCAGUGGUUUGCAGAGGCUGGGCCAGGCCCUGGAUGGCCACGUCAGAAGUGCAGGACGAUGUCCCGGGUGGGACGGGGCCGUGUUAGAGAUGAGUCCCCGGGAGCAUGAGGCACAGCCAGGAGGGUGUGGGACUG